GGAAUAUUGGACAAUGGGCGAAAGCCUGAUCCAGCAAUGCCGCGUGAGUGAUGAAGGCCUUAGGGUUGUAAAGCUCUUUUGCCAGGGAUGAUAAUGACAGUACCUGGUAAAGAAACCCCGGCUAACUCCGUGCCCGCAGCCGCGGUAAUACGGAGGGGGUUAGCGUUGUUCGGAAUUACUGGGCGUAAAGCGCACGUAGGCGGACCAUUAAGUCAGGGGUGAAAUCCCGGGGCUCAACCCCGGAACUGCCUCUGAUACUGGCGGUCUUGAGUUCGAGAGAGGUGAGUGGAAUUCCGAGUGUAGAGGUAAAAUUCGUAGAUAUUCGGAGGAACACCAGUGGCGAAGGCGGCUCACUGGCUCGAUACUGACGCUGAGGUGCGAAAGUGUGGGGAGCAA
rnacentral:rRNA from 1 species